GCUACCGGGCGACCGGAUGCGGAUCUCGAAAGCCUGUCCCAGUUCGGACUGGAGUCUGCAACCCGACUCCACGAAGUUGGAUUCGCUAGUAAUCGCGCAUCAGCCAUGGCGCGGUGAAUACGUUCCCGGGCCUUGUACACACCGCCCGUCAAGCCAUGGGAGCCGGGGGCGCCUGAAGUCCGGGACCGCGAGGACCGGCCUAGGGCGAAACUGGUAACUGGGGCUAAGUCGUAACAAGGUACC
rnacentral:rRNA from 1 species